GAACCCGCCCUCUGGGAGGUCUCUUUUUCCCUGAGUUCAACCGGUGGCAUCGCCGCUGGAGUCCUUUAAACUCAGAAACCUCAGGGUGAUGUGAGAGAGGGAGGGUUCUGGGGUCUUAUAGUCAUGGGUUCGAACCUCAGCUCCAUUAGUUGCCUACUUAGUGACCUCAUACAAGUUAAACUUGCCUUCUUCGCGCGAUUCUCCCUUGUGAUAUUAUUGCUAAGUUCUAAUAAUGGGGGACUACGUUUGGAGUGCCUGGAAGACCUGGUUCACUAGGUUUUAUCGAGUGUCUUAUCACGUGCUAAGCGCUGGAAAUAGUAAUUGUGAACAGGACCCAUAGUUCUUGCCCUCGACCUAACAUUUCUAACGCAAACAGGGAACAAAAAGAAGUAAAUUACAAGUAAGUAACGAAGUGUGGUAAGUGCUCUGAGGGAAACAGAACUGGAAUACAGAAAAAUGGAGGAACCUACAUUAGGUAAAAUGGCCAGGGGAGAAAUCUUUGAAGUUAUAACCUGAGUCUAGAGAAUAAGAAGGAAUGUCAAAAUCAACAGUCUUGAAGAAAGAAGAGAGCGUGGCUGGAAGGCAAUAGGAACCUGAAAUCAAGGAAUUAACAUCGAGUGAUUCAAAAUCAAUAAAAACUGCAGCAAAUGCUGAGUUUUCAGUCAAGAAUUCCUUUUGUGCCAAAAAUGAAGAGAGUAAUCAGAGCAACAAAGGGAACUGACCAAGGAGAGUCCCAUGCUUGUGCUUCAUCCAGUCCCUUGGACUGCGAAGUCAAACCAGUCAAUUCU